rnacentral:tRNA from 1 species
CUUUAAAGGAUCCAAGUAUAAU